rnacentral:rRNA from 1 species
UGGCGGACGGGUGAGUAAUGUCUGGGAAACUGCCUGAUGGGGGGGGAUAACUACUGGAAACGGUAGCUAAUACCGCAUAACGUCGCAAGACCAAAGAGGGGGACCUUAGGGCCUCUUGCCAUCGGAUGUGCCCAGAUGGGAUUAGCUAGUAGGUGGGGUAAAGGCUCACCUAGGCGACGAUCCCUAGCUGGUCUGAGAGGAUGACCAGCCACACUGGAACUGAGACACGGUCCAG